AUGCUCGGGGGUCCGGGAGGUCCCGGGGGCGACAAGCACGCGCACGACCGUGUCCGAGGGUCUCUCAACCACCGCUUGUCGUGGCAACCGCCGCCGAGGACUCGAUUUUAGGCCAACCACGGGCGGGAGCGCGCGGGAGACCAGUAUCCGCCCCCGCCCUCGUGAGCCGAGGGGAGUGGGGGCGACGAUGCGUGACACCCAGGCAGACGUGCCCUCGACCAGGAGGCCUCGGGCGCAACUUGCGUUCAAAGACUCGAUGGUUCACGGGAUUCUGCAAUUCACACCAAGUAUCGCAUUUCGCUACGUUCUUCAUCGAUGCGAGAGCCGAGAUAUCCGUUGCCGAGAGUCGUUCAGAUUAUCACAAAAAGAAGGCGCGCCCCCGACACCGAGGCUACGAGGGCGGGCUCCUAGUACUCAAUUUCCUUGGCGCUUCUCGCGCCGGGGUUCGUUGGCGAGCCGUGUCGGGCGCAGAUGCGUCCCUCCACGGCACGCGUGGACACGAGGGGCGGGUGCCCCCCGAGCCCAGCUUGUCAUGCCACGGGUUCGCGGGU
rnacentral:misc_RNA from 1 species